rnacentral:rRNA from 1 species
UGCCAGACUCCUACGGGAGGCAGCAGUGAGGAAUAUUGGUCAAUGGUCGGGAGACUGAACCAGCCAAGCCGCGUGAGGGAUGAAGGUACAGAGUAUCGUAAACCUCUUUUGUCAGGGAACAAAGGCGGGGACGUGUCCCCGGAUGAGUGUACCUGAAGAAAAAGCAUCGGCUAACUCCGUGCCAGCAGCCGCGGUAAUACGGAGGAUGCGAGCGUUAUCCGGAUUUAUUGGGUUUAAAGGGUGCGCAGGCGGAUUUUUAAGUCAGCGGUCAAAUCGUGGGGCUCAACCCCAUCCAGCCGUUGAAACUGGGGAUCUAGAGUGUGCGAGAGGUAUGCGGAAUGCGUGGUGUAGCGGUGAAAUGCAUAGAUAUCACGCAGAACCCCGAUUGCGAAGGCAGCAUACCGGUGCACAACUGACGCUCAGGCACGAAAGCGUGGGUAUCGAACAGGAUUAGAUACCUAGA